rnacentral:rRNA from 1 species
CCUACGGGUGGCAGCAGUGGGGAAUAUUGCACAAUGGGGGAAACCCUGAUGCAGCAACGCCGCGUGAGUGACGAAGUAUUUCGGUAUGUAAAGCUCUAUCAGCAGGGAAGCAGAUGACGGUACCUGACCAAGAAGCCCCGUCUAACUACGUGCCAGCAGCCGCGGUAAUACGUAGGGGGCAAGCGUUAUCCGGAUUUACUGGGUGUAAAGGGAGCGCAGACGGCAGUGCAAGUCUGAGGUGAACGCCCGGGGCCCAACCCCGGAACUGCUGUGGAAACUGUGCGGCUUGAGUACGUGAGGGGCAGGCGGAAUUCCUGGUGUAGCGGUGAAAUGCGGAGAGAUUAGGAGGAACACCAGUGGCGAAGGCGGCCUGCUGGGCCGUAACUGACGUUGAGGCUCGAAGGCGUGGGGAGCAAACAGGAUUAGAUACCCCAGUAGUC